UACGUAGGGGGCAAGCGUUGUCCGGAUUUAUUGGGCGUAAAGCGAGCGCAGGUGGUUUAUUAAGUCUGGUGUAAAAGGCAGUGGCUCAACCAUUGUAUGCAUUGGAAACUGGUAGACUUGAGUGCAGGAGAGGAGAGUGGAAUUCCAUGUGUAGCGGUGAAAUGCGUAGAUAUAUGGAGGAACACCGGUGGCGAAAGCGGCUCUCUGGCCUAUAACUGACACUGAGGCUCGAAAGCGUGGGGAGCAAACAGG
rnacentral:rRNA from 1 species